rnacentral:pre_miRNA from 1 species
GGUACCUGAAGGGAGAUCGACCGUGUUCCAUUCGCUCCGCUGACUUCGAAUAAUAGAUGGUUGAUCUUUCCUCGGUAUC